CAGAAAAUAGUUUAAUUAAAAUAUUAAUUUUGGAGAUUAAUGAUAAAGAUAAAAUCUUUUUUUCUGA
rnacentral:tRNA from 1 species